GCCAGUAGAAAUAGGAUGUUGAAUACACCAGUCCCCAUUGCUAACUGAAGUUAAGUAUCGCGCCUGGUUGGUAUUCUGAUGGGUCACCAUCUAAGCAAUCGCGUGCUACUGGGU
rnacentral:rRNA from 1 species